rnacentral:rRNA from 1 species
UGGGGAAUAUUGCACAAUGGGGGAAACCCUGAUGCAGCGACGCCGCGUGAACGAAGAAGGUAUUCGUAUCGUAAAGUUCUGUCCUAUGGGAAGAUAAUGACAGUACCAUAGAAGAAAGCUCCGGCUAAAUACGUGCCAGCAGCCGCGGUAAUACGUAUGGAGCGAGCGUUGUCCGGAAUUAUUGGGCGUAAAGGGUACGCAGGCGGUUGAAUAAGUCGAAUGUUAAAGAUCGGGGCUCAACCCCGUAAAGCAUUGGAAACUGAUAAACUUGAGUAGUGGAGAGGAAAGUGGAAUUCCUAGUGUAGUGGUGAAAUACGUAGAUAUUAGGAGGGAUCCCAGUAGCUAAUGCGAGUUUCUGGACACAAACUGACGCUGAGGUACGAAAGCGUGGGGAGCAAACAGG